CCCUUAGAUGUUCUGGGCCGCACGCGCGCUACACUGAUGCAUUCAACGAGCCUAUCCUUGACCGACAGGUCCGGGUAAUCUUUGAAUCUGCAUCGUGACGGGGAUAGAUUAUUGCAAUUAUUAAUCUUCAACGAGGAAUGCCUAGUAGGCGCAAGUCAUCAGCUUGCGUCGAUUACGUCCCUGCCCUUUGUACACACCGCCCGUCGCUCCUACCGAUUGAGUGCUCAGGUGAAUAAUUCGGACUGCAGCAAUGUUCGGAUCCCGAACGUUGCAGCGGAAAGUUUAGUGAACCUUAUCACUUAGAGGAAGGAGAAGUCGUAACA
rnacentral:rRNA from 1 species